UCUUCUUCUUCUUUUUUUGGCAUAACGUUUUGGGGGAUAAUUUAGUAUUAAGACUUCAAUGCAAAUACAUUGCUUAAAGUUCUACUAGAUGUUUUGUCUUCGUAGAGGUCAGGAGAUCAACAAAGACAGAAAGAACAAUAGUAGUCAAUACGAAAAUAUAUUGUGUUGUCACUCUUCCGAUUCUGAAUUUAUUCUGUGGUCAUCAAUAUUGAAGUAACAACAACUAAACAACUAACGCAGACAUUGACUGGGCCUAGAACAUCCGGCCCAUGUGUACAACAAAAAAAACUCAUGUAGUACGUUGUUGGAAACCAGGAGCUUAAAAAACGACGAUGUGUUGACAAAAAUAGUCCCACAUCGCUUAGAUCCAAAAUAAUGACAAGGGGACGCAGAGUAUAUAUAGAGAAGCAGACGUUUCGAGCAAAUUACUUACCUGGACGGGGUCUACUCGCGAUCAACAAGACGAGUGGCCUAGGCUAGUGACCGCAUUGCACAUACCGUUGGGGUGCUAUGCCUAAGGUCUUCCCUUGAGGAGGAUCCUACGUCAUUAUUUGUGGCAGAAGGGGUUUGCGUUCGCGCAGCCCC